GAGGGAAUAGCUCAGUGGUAGAGCGCAUGCUUAGCAUGCACAAGGUCCUGGGUUCAGUUCUCAGUACUUCCC
rnacentral:tRNA from 1 species